rnacentral:rRNA from 1 species
AUGCACGCUGGCGGCGUGCCUCAUCCCUGCAAGUCGAGCGCACAGACGAGGAGCUUGCUCCUCUGACGUUAGCGGCGGACGGGUGAGUAACACGUGGAUAACCUACCUAUAAGACUGGGAUAACUUCGGGAAACCGGAGCUAAUACCGGAUAAUAUAUUGAACCGCAUGGUUCAAUAGUGAAAGACGGUUUUGCUGUCACUUAUAGAUGGAUCCGCGCCGCAUUAGCUAGUUGGUAAGGUAACGGCUUACCAAGGCAACGAUGCGUAGCCGACCUGAGAGGGUGAUCGGCCACACUGGAACUGAGACACGGUCCAGACUCCUACGGGAGGCAGCAGUAGGGAAUCUUCCGCAAUGGGCGAAAGCUUGACGGAGCAACGCCGCGUGAGUGAUGAAGGUCUUCGGAUCGUAAAACUCUGUUAUUAGGGAAGAACAAAUGUGUAAGUAACUAUGCACGUCUUGACGGUACCUAAUCAGAAAGCCACGGCUAACUACGUG